rnacentral:rRNA from 1 species
AGCGAACGCUGGCGGCAGGCCUAACACAUGCAAGUCGAACGAACUCUUCGGAGUUAGUGGCGGACGGGUGAGUAACACGUGGGAACGUGCCUUUUGGUUCGGAAUAACUCAGGGAAACUUGUGCUAAUACCGAAUGUGCCCUUCGGGGGAAAGAUUUAUCGCCAUUAGAGCGGCCCGCGUCUGAUUAGCUAGUUGGUGAGGUAACGGCUCACCAAGGCGACGAUCAGUAGCUGGUCUGAGAGGAUGACCAGCCACACUGGGACUGAGACACGGCCCAGACUCCUACGGGAGGCAGCAGUGGGGAAUCUUGCGCAAUGGGCGAAAGCCUGACGCAGCCAUGCCGCGGGAAUGAUGAAGGUCUUAGGAUUGUAAAAUUCUUUCACCGGGGACGAUAAUGACGGUACCCGGAGAAGAAGCCCCGGCGAACUUCGU